rnacentral:rRNA from 1 species
AUGGGAUUCUAUAGCCUACAUGAAUCCCUUCAUCAGGAAGCUACCAAACUACUCUCCCGCUUCUUUUGGGCGGGAGAGAACAAUAAGCAGAAGUACCAUAUGGUCAAAUGGUCUGAGAUCUGCAAACCUAAGGACCAGGGGGGCUUGGGGGUCAUCUCCUCGAAGCGUAUGAACAUUGCCCUCCUGUCCAAAUGGCUUUGGCGGAUCCAAACUGAGGAGGGCGGCCUGUGGCUUUAGAUUAUACGUGGGAAGUAA